CUGGCGGCGUGCCUAAUACAUGCAAGUCAACGGCUUUCUAUGGAAGCUUGCUUCCACUGAGAAGAUAGUGGCGAACGGGUGAGUAACACGUGGGUAACCUGCCCAUAAGAGGGGGAGUAACAUCCGGAAACGGGUGCUAAUACCGCAUAGUUUUCUUGAUUGCAUGAUUGAGAAAGGAAAGACGGCCUUUGUGCUGUCGCUUAUGGAUGGACCCGCGGCGUAUUAGUUAGUUGGUGAGGUAACGGCUCACCAAGACGAUGAUACGUAGCUGACCUGAGAGGGUGAUCGGCCACAUUGGGACUGAGACACGGCCCAAACUCCUACGGGAGGCAGCAGUAGGGAAUCUUCCGCAAUGGACGAAAGUCUGACGGAGCAACGCCGCGUGAGUGAAAGAAGGUUUUCGGAUCGUAAAACUCUGUUGUCAGAGAAGAACAAGUUGGAGAGUAACUGCUCCAGCCUUGACGGUAUCUGACCAGAAAGCCACGGCUAACUACGUGCCAGCCGCCGC
rnacentral:rRNA from 1 species